CAUAACCUGCUGUGUAUGUGACGUGCGCCAAUCCGUUUUGAGCCAACACCCAGCAAUGGGGAGCACCAAUGUGGCGGCAAGAUGAUAGGCCCGCGUCGGCUAAGAUCCCAUCGCCAAACGAGUUCCCACCUGCGAAAGCAGGUUCAAAACUCCGCACACACGACAUGGCGGGCUUUUU
rfam:Chloroflexi bacterium OLB15 TZ15_CFX003CONTIG000133, whole genome shotgun sequence.